GUGUCAGCAGCCGCGGUAAAACGUAGGUCCCGAGCGUUGUUCGCGUUCAAUGGGUAUAAAGGGCGCGUAGGUGGUUGUCUGUGUCUCAUGUGAAAACUCAGGGCUCAACUCUGAGAUGGCGUGGGAAACUAGGCAGCUAGAGGACGGUAGAGGGGAGUGGAAUUCCCGGUGUAGCGGUAAAAUGCGUAGAUAUCGGGAGGAACACCGGUGGCGAAGGCGGCUCUCUGGGCCGAUCCUGACGCUGAGGCGCGAAAGCUAGGGGAGCGAACCGGAUUAGAUACCCGGGUAGUCCUAGCCGUAAACGAUGGGUGCUAGGUGUUGGGGGGUAAAGACCCUUCAGUGCCGAAGCCAACGCGAUAAGCAUCCCACCUGGGGAGUACGAUCGCAAGAUUGAAACUCAAAGGAAUUGGCGG
rnacentral:rRNA from 1 species